CAAAAACUUACGUUUCAAUUUUCAUUUCUAAAUAAUUUAGGACUUCUUGUCAGUUCUUGUUUUUAAAUAAUUACUAUUGAAAAUGUCUUCUGACGAAGAAGGCGAAGCGAUACCCUUCGGACUUUUUGGUGAUCUACUCGACGAAAUUGAGCACGAGGGUCCCUCUGCGCAGCCUAGACUUGCCACAAGAAUUGCAACCCAAAAAGAAUUCGAUGCGCUGUGCAAAUCGAUUGGGGGAUUCGAGAAAUGGUCUGUUCUGAAUGAAGAUUGUCGGAGGGAAGUUGUCAAAAAUAUGGAUUACUGGGCGAGGAGCAGACUAGGGUUCUGUUCGAAAGCCGAUCAGGAGACUGUUUCCAGAACUCCCAUUAAAAUACAUAGCAUCGAAAUUCUGGACAAUGAAAACCACUACUUGCUGAGUCGGGAGGAUUUUGACAACGUGGUGGUCCGUGUUCAAUUCCAUCACGACUUCCACUCGGGAAAACGAUUCGAGGUUGUGUUUUCGCAACUCGGUGAUGAUACUCAAAUUCGUUGGAUCAAAUACAUGCGAAAACCGGAUGUUAGAAGUAUUUUGCUGAAUAAUUGCAAUUAUUAUCAGGAGGCUGCCAAAUUUGCGGAAAAGUGGAUGAAAAAGUGUAAUUUCGAAAUUGCUGUGCUCAAAGUGGAAAUGGCUCACUAUCCAACGGAAUCCAGCCAGAUUAAACAUUUGCCACGUUGCAAGGAUGUUCGAAUUGGCGCCGAUGAUCUGGAAACUUUCCGCUGGUGGCUUCAAAAGGUUCCAGAACAACUUGAUGAUCUACAGCUGAUAACUCUUGAACAAGAUAGAGAAACUUUCACGCUCCCCACCGAAUUCGUAGCUUUGCCGCAAAUCAUGACUGUUCCGGGCUUCUACUUCUGGUGCCGAGCUGCGUUCUCCGAUGAGCAAUUCCUCAAGCUGGCUGCCAAAACUAUGAGCUUUGACGCUGUAAACAUUACUGACAGUGGAAUCAAUCAAUUCCUGAAGAAUUGGCUCAAUGGAAAAAGUGUUCCCGGAUUUAGACAGGCUCUUUUGUGGUGUAGAAGGCAGGCAGACAAGCCUGCGAUGAUUCGAGGGAUCCAAGUUCGGCAAUGGGAUAAGGCUUUCGAGGAAGAAGCAGCCGGCUUCUGUGGUGAUUUCGAGAGAGUUUGUGGUCGUGGAGAUUGUCUGCAAAUUUAUAGUUUGAUCGAUUCAUUCGAGAGCCUAACUCUCAGCAUUAUGGACGAUAGAAUUUCAAUUUAUGCUACUGGACGCAAGUGUACAUACCAGGGAAAGACGUACAGCGACUAUUGGAUUCCCUGA
rnacentral:misc_RNA from 1 species